ACCACGUGGAGGAAAAGCACGCGAGUUUGGAGCGGGUGGAGCAGGAACAGAGGUGGACUGGAAUGUCACACGACGGGGCAGCUGGAAGGGCACCACUGAGUUCAGUACUUCAAAAUUGCCGUGCUCUACCUCUCCCCAGUGCACAAAAACACUCUCCACACCAAGCUGCUGCUGCUGGGGGAUGGAGGGAUGGCGUCAGCGAUUCAAGACUGUUUUUCCUACCUGUUCAGCACUUCUUUCAGCGAUAUGAAGUUAAAUCCAGAUGUCGUCAUCAUCCACUUGUUCAAACAAGAGCCCAAGGAUCAUCCUAGAUUCCUUCUCACUUCCUCUCAAUCCAUCCCUGAAACAGCCAAACCACCAGCCAAGUUCCCACCUGGUGGGAAGCACUGUGCAGGUUCGUGGGGAUGCAGCCCUGCACAGCCCAGACUGGACUCCUUCCCCAUGGAACUCACAACACACGGGAGAGGCAGAGAGAUCCAAGCGCACAGAAAAACACAAGAAGAUUCAGCCCUGUCAUCUUGUGCAAAUCCUCACUGUCCCCAGAAGGAAGAGAGGCACACAGCGCUCCCCAGCCGCUGGAAUCCAGGAAGAAUUGAGGUGCUCAAGACCCACCACCUCUUUGCCUGCAAACUCUAAGCUCACUGUCCUGCUCCCUUGCUCCCAGAAGUGGCACUGGAUGGAUCCCAUCCAGAUCUGACAACUCACUGGAAAGUUCUUCUCUGUGUCCCUGUCCCCCGUCUGGUUCUGAGGCCGCUGCUUUCCCCAGCCUUGGUGCCUUGGGUUUUCUGCUCUGUGAAAUGAACCAGGUCCCUUAUCCUGUUCUCCCCUGAAGAAAAGAGGGUGUGGGGGGCUUGGCACAGGAAAUGGCCCUUGCCUUUCACAGGCUUUGGGGUCUGAGGGCAGCUCUGAUGCCCCAGCAUGCUUUUCCAACCCAACAACUGGGGAGACCCGCUUGCCAUUUUACCACCCAGUAUCUGAAAUUAGCAGCCGCCUAAUCUCUCUCUGCCAUAUCACUCAAUGGUUUAAUUGUGCAGAAAAAAAUGUAUUAAAAUGCAAAGCACUCAGUUGU
rnacentral:lncRNA from 1 species